UGGUUUACCACUUGUCCUUUCCCAUCAGUAGUCUGCCGUUGAACAGUGAGGAAGGAGAAGGAGAAGAAAGGAUGAUGGAAGAAGGGAACAACAAGAGUGUGAGAAGAGAAGAUGAUGGAAGAGGAAGUACGAUUUUCGUCACCCACCCUAGAUAGCAGGAGAAGAUAAUGGAAAAUAUAACAUAUGUUGCUUCAUUCAAGAUUGGGUUAGGUGAGAAGAAGAAGGAGGACAGGAGAAGAUGACGGAAUAUAGCAGGUGGUGGCUCCGCGGAGGAGAUGGUUCAAGGGACGGCAGCGACUAAACCUCGCGGUGCUCUGGUGCGGAGGCGAGAGGUUUGCCCUGUUGGGUUUUUUGUUUUAUGAAGUUGGUUUGUUGUUUGUUUUUCUAGUGGAAGAAUCAUGGUUCAUACUCGGUAAAUUGAGAGAUAAACUGAUAGUGUCGAUCCAAGAUCUACAGUAGCUAUUUUUGGGCUGGGAUUUAUUGGGUUAGCCACAUGGACUCUUUGAACAUGGCUUUGUUUUCAAUAAAAGAUAAGAUGUAUUUUAUUUUUUUCCUGAAUAAAAUCCAGUCUCAUUUCUUCUUCUCUUAUUCAGGGUUUGGUUUUUUUUAAUACAUUAAAAAAUUUCGUAUCAAUUUUUGAGAUAAUACCUUAUCAACUUCAGAAAUUAUGUUAUCUUGAGUUGUUGAGAUUGAUGCUUGACGGAAAAUACAUUGUUUCUUGAGUGAAAUGAUUGGUGUCUUGUCUUUUUCUGUAGAAGUUAGUCUUCAAGGAGUAAUAGUAAUAUUUGGUUUAGAAGAUUUAAAUGAGAUAGAAAGAUGAUAUAUAGCUCAAGCUCAGUAAUGUGCUUAGUUACAUAUUGUUUAGAGAAUCUGAUAUUAUUGGUCUACAUUUUUUAUGCUAUAACUACUCAUUUUCCAGUUUGUAGUAUUUUAUAUCCUUUCCUAUCCCUAUUUUUGGUGUUCUCUUUCUUUCUUUCUGUAAGUGUUAUUUGGCAAGGUCUUUUUGCUUACUUUCAUAUCACCAUACCAUAUUUGUCUUUCUUUGUUCAUCGGCUCUUUCUGAUAACUGCUUUUUGGUGAGAUUAAGUCGCUGCUACUUCUAUAAGAUCCCAAGAAUUUAAAUCCUCAAUCCUAAAUGAAUUUGUUUCAUGACCAAGAUAUCAACAAGUUUUUCUGCAUCACAAAAGCAUGUCAAAUCUCUUUAAUCCUUAAUUAAGUACAUUUAUUUCUCAGGAUGAUUCUAAAGUUUUCUAAGCUUGAGCUGUCAGUUUUUGUUUUAUGACAUCAUGGCACUUCUCAAGUUCAACAAGGUCACUGAUUUUGCCGCUAUCUAUCUUCGCUUGCUGGAACUAUUCAAG